rnacentral:rRNA from 1 species
UGGGGAAUAUUGGGCAAUGGACGAAAGUCUGACCCAGCAACGCCGCGUGGAGGAUGAAGCAUUUCGGUGUGUAAACUCCUUUUAACGAGGAAGAUAAUGACGGUACUCGUUGAAUAAGCACCGGCUAACUCCGUGCCAGCAGCCGCGGUAAUACGGAGGGUGCAAGCGUUACUCGGAAUCACUGGGCGUAAAGGGUGUGUAGGCGGAUUAGUAAGUCUUGUGUGAAAUCCUACGGCUUAACCGUAGAACUGCAUGGGAAACUGCUAAACUAGAGUGUGAAAGAGGCAGGUGGAAUUAGUGGUGUAGGGGUAAAAUCCGUAGAUAUCACUAGGAAUACCGAUGGCGAAGGCGACCUGCUAGAGCAUAACUGACGCUGAGACACGAAAGCGUGGGGAGCAAA